rnacentral:pre_miRNA from 1 species
UGGUGAGACGGAGGUGAUGGUGGUGAUGGUGAUGGUGAUGGUGAUCAUCAUCAUCAUCAUCAUCAUCAUCAUCAUCAUCAUCAUCAUCAUCAUCA